rnacentral:rRNA from 1 species
AAGUAAAAGUCGUAACAAGGUCUCCGUUGGUGAACCAGCGGAGGGAUCAUUACUGAGUUACCGCUCUAUAACCCUUUGUGAACAUACCUACAACUGUUGCUUCGGCGGGUAGGCCGUCCCCUGAAAAGGACGCCUCCCGGCCCGGAACGGACCCCCUCGCGGGGCCCGGACCCGGCGCCCGCCGGAGGAUAACCAAACUCUAUUUUAACGACGUUUCUUCUGAGUGGCAUAAGCAAAAUAAUCAAAACUUUUAACAACGGAUCUCUUGGUUCUGGCAUCGAUGAAGAACGCAGCGAAAUGCGAUAAGUAAUGUGAAUUGCAGAAUUCAGUGAAUCAUCGAAUCUUUGAACGCACAUUGCGCCCGCCAGCAUUCUGGCGGGCAUGCCUGUUCGAGCGUCAUUUCAACCCUCAAGCUCUGCUUGGUGUUGGGGCCCCACGGUCGACGUGGGCCCUCAAAGGUAGUGGCGGACCCUCCCGGAGCCUCCUUUGCGUAGUAACAUUUCGUCUCGCACUGGGAUCCGGAGGGACUCUUGCCGUAAAACCCCCCAAUUCUUUCAAGGUUGACCUCGGAUCAGGUAGGAAUACCCGCUGAACUUA